AACAGUGCUGAGUAAGGGAGAGACAAGGAAAGACGCCUGCAUGAAGACUGAGCUGCUGAAAGAUAUCACCAACAACAAAGAGGAAGGGUUUAAUGCCAUGGCUGCAGAUGAAAGUACUACAGAAAAGCAAGCGGGGGAACCAAGAAUGGCAGUAGAUGGUGAAACCAACGGUUCCUGUGAGCACAGCGAAGCUGGUAGCCACCCAAACCCAGCUAAAAACACUCAGGACAAUACGAAAGUGAGCCAGCAGGACUCUAGUACUAAAUUAAAUAGGAUAGCGGAAAAUGGCAUUUCUGAACGAGAUGGCGAGACUGGGAAGCAAAACCAUAUGAAAGCUAAUGACUUCACACAGACUUCUGUAACAGGGAGCAAUGGAUAUAUUCUAACCAAGCAGAUGGCACAGGAGCAACCUCUAAGGACUACCAGCACCUUUGCUUCUCUCACCGGCCAUGCUGCAAAAACCCUUCCAGGAGGAGCAAGCAAAGGGAGAACUGUGGGCUCCUUUUCUCAGAUGCAAGCCACAAUGCCAACCAAGCUCGGGGAGGGCAGUAAGGACAUGGAUGCUAAAAAAGCCACCGCUGCUAACACUGAAGUCAAGGUCCACAGAGCACGGAAGACAAUGCCUAAACCCACCCCUAGCCUG